GACGAACGCUGGCGGCGUGCUUAACACAUGCAAGUCGAACGGAAAGGCCCUGCUUUUGUGGGGUGCUCGAGUGGCGAACGGGUGAGUAACACGUGAGUAACCUGCCCUUGACUUUGGGAUAACUUCAGGAAACUGGGGCUAAUACCGGAUAGGAGCUCCUGCUGCAUGGUGGGGGUUGGAAAGUUUCGGCGGUUGGGGAUGGACUCGCGGCUUAUCAGCUUGUUGGUGGGGUAGUGGCUUACCAAGGCUUUGACGGGUAGCCGGCCUGAGAGGGUGACCGGCCACAAUGGGACUGAGAUACGGCCCAGACGCCUACGGGAGGCAGCAGGGGGGAAUAUUGCACAAUGGGCGGAAGCCUGAUGCAGCAACGCCGCGUGCGGGAUGACGGCCUUCGGGGUGUAAACCGCUUUCGCCUGUGACGAAGCGUGAGUGACGGUAAUGGGUAAAGAAGCACCGGCUAAUUACGUG
rnacentral:rRNA from 1 species